ACUUAGAUUAAUUCAUGUGCUAGCAAUUUAAUUAACCCAUUUAAUUUAUAAUAAAUCUAAAUAAAUUUAAUCAAGAUUAAAUUUUUAUUGUGUGUGACCCAUUGAGUUCCAUAUCUAGCUAGUAGUGGACUCAAACUCAUGACCUAAUCCAAUUAGGUCAGUCCAAAGGUAUCAAUUAAUCAGAACACCUAAUUAAUUUCUGAAUUAAACUCUUUUAAUACUUGCAAGUUCACAAAUCAAGAUUAACAUCUAGCAACAUGUCAUGACUACCCAGAAGAUAUAAAAUUUGGUAGAAAUAUCAAAAUUAUCCUUCCAUAGUGAGUUACCGUAUAAUUCAAUCCUUCGAUCACACAACAUCUCAGAUAGACCAUAGGCAUAGAAAUAUGUCAAGCUCAAAUACCUAUCUAUUUGUAUCUUGAUUUGAUGAUGAUGACUCGGUUGAUGAAUCAGUAGAAAUUUUUUCUACUGUUCAUCCCUGCUCUGGCCAGAAACUCUCAGAGUAAUCAUCCUAUGAAAUUACAUAGGAUGUUCUCUCCUCUUACAAGGAGUGAUCGAUUUUUUAUUGACCACUCACAACCUCCUUGCACACUUCACUAGACCCAGAAUAUCUCACACACAUCUCA
rnacentral:lncRNA from 1 species